GCCUGGACAUGUUUCUCUGUUUGUACGCCUUGGAAGAUACGACCAGAAGCCGUUGGAUUUCGUGAAUGGAAGACGCUUUUGACAGAUUUGUUUCUGUGCACAAGACAAAUGGGCUGUCGUACUGCCGACGUAGGAAAUGAACACACGUCGCUGAGAUCUUAAAAGACAAAGUAGGGUGUGCACUUCACCCAUGCAACUCCAAUGUCUGCUUCAUGGCAGUGCAAGCUUUUACAACCGUG